rnacentral:lncRNA from 1 species
AUUUUUAUAGCAUGUCAUUAUACAUAUAUCAACAGGAAAGUCAUGUGUGCUAUUUAUUCAUUAAACGGUGAAUUACUGACCAAAUACCUUCGGUCUCACCACCAAUGGAUUGUACCAGCCCUCUCAGGGUCUGCAUUGGGCCAGUUGCAAAACUGAUUACUUGUAGUACCAUCAAAGAUAACCUUGCGUGAUCAUUAAUGGUUAUUUCAAACAAUCCCAAUUUUCCAAGAAAUAAUUGGGUACAAUCUCUACAAGUUAGAUACACAUUCAAGACCGUGUAUAUAAAUAAUCUGCAUAUGCCAUCAUCACUACAAACCAUUAAAAGUCUGAAAUGGCCUAUAUCUGUACUCGACUGUACUGAUUUUUACUCGACCAGUCUGAAUUCGUCUGAGAUUUACUUGAUAAUACUCGACUGUAGUCUGAACCAUACUUAACAGUCUGAAUGUGUACUUGACCAGUACUUAACCGUUUUAUACGAGUCUGAACUGUACUCGACCAAGUCUGAACCGUACUCGACCUAGUCUGAACCGUACUCGACCUAGUCUCAACCAUACUCGACCUAGUCUGAACCAUACUCGACCAAGUCUUAACCAAACUAGACCUAUUCUUUGUAUCUAUUAACUGAAUUUUAUCAAUUUAGGAUUUUUUUUAAUAAAAAUGAAAUUUAAACAACAACUUGAAAUUAAAAAUGUAUUCAAUACAGUAUUGAAAUUAAAAUUUCACAAUAAUCAAUCAUAAUAUAAC